rnacentral:rRNA from 1 species
AUUGAACGCUGGCGGCGUGCUUAACACAUGCAAGUCGAACGGAGUGGCGAACGGGUGCGUAACACGUGAGUAACCUUCCCUUGACUUCGGGAUAACUUCAGGAAACUGGGGCUAAUACCGGAUAGGUUUGGAUGGACGCGCGGCGUAUCAACUUGUUGGUGGGGUAGUGUCUUACCAAGGCUGUGACGGGUAGACGGCCUGAGAGGGCGACCGGACACAGUGGGACUGAGAUACGGCCCAGACUCCUACGGGAGGCAGCAGGGGGGAAUAUUGCAGAAUGGGCGGAAGCCGGAUGCAGCAACGCCGCGGGCGGGAUGACGGCCUUCGGGUUGUAAACCGCUUUCAGCAGGGGAGCGGUACCUGCAGAAGAAGCACCGGCUAACUACGUGCCAGCAGCCGCGGUAAUUC